rnacentral:lncRNA from 1 species
AAAUUUGCUAUAGGUGUGAAGAAGACAUGCAAAGCACAUGCAUGUAAACCCCCACCAUGAAGUAAGAAUUUUGAUUUGUUUUGAUUACUGUUUCUCCCAAAGAUGUACGUCUAAAUUGAGUCAACAAUGGUUUUUAAUAGGUUUGAGUCGAUGUCUGAAGCUACGACAAAAAUGAGCAUAUAGCCUUAGGAUUUUUUCGGAUCAAAGGAGGAACAUGUAUCAAAACUACAGAGGACGUCAAACAUGUAUGUACCUCUCAUCAAAUAUAAUUUUGUGUGUCAUAUUUUACAGUGAAAAUGAGAAUAACGUAACUUAUUCAAAUUGUUUUUCACUUUCCUGUUUAUAUUGUGAUCACUUUGGUUCUUUAUGAUCGAUCUUAUUACAUGUUUUUUUAUUCAGGACCAAACCAUUACGUAGUAGUGAAGAUAUAGAAUUGGGACCGAACCAUAAGUGUGCUUAAUUAUUAUUAGUAGUGGUAUCUAAUAACAUGACUCACUCAAAUGAGACAUGUGUGGAGAGAUUCUUAAUUUCUUAUGUUCGUGAUUCGUGAAGAUGUAUGAAUCACAUUGUCUCUCAGUCAUUUAUGUAUAAUGUAUAUAUUUAAUAUUUCUCUCAUAUUCCAUGUUUUCUUAUUGAUUAGGAUAAUGCUGAAGAGUGAAGACAGAUUGAAGAGUGGAAGCUGAACUAUGAAACUAAAGCCAUCAUUGUUGGAAAUUUCAUAGUUUUUACCGUGCAUUAGCACGGGUCUAAUACUAGUGUGAAAUAUUGCGAAAGGUGAGAAAAACCCUCAAAAUUCGACUUCUAUAUAUUUA